CAGCCGCCGCGGUAAUACAGAGGGUGCGAGCGUUAAUCGGAUUUACUGGGCGUAAAGCGUGCGUAGGCGGCUUCUUAAGUCGGAUGUGAAAUCCCUGAGCUUAACUUAGGAAUUGCAUUCGAUACUGGGAAGCUAGAGUAUGGGAGAGGAUGGUAGAAUUCCAGGUGUAGCGGUGAAAUGCGUAGAGAUCUGGAGGAAUACCGAUGGCGAAGGCAGCCAUCUGGCCUAAUACUGACGCUGAGGUACGAAAGCAUGGGGAGCAAACAGGAUUAGAUACCCCCGUAGUCCCUGUCUCUUAUAC
rnacentral:rRNA from 1 species